UAUAAUAAAAACUAAACUGACUGGAAACUGUUACUUCUUGAGUUAGAGAGUAUAAACUUGAGGGGGAACCUGUUACAUCACAAUGGUUGUUAUUCUCUGGCUGUUACUAGAGAGGCUGCUACAAGAACUGAUGCUGCUUAAUGGUAAUGGAGGUAGAACAGAAAUGCUGGGGGAUGCCACACAUACAGAGAUGCUGUCAGCUUCAAACCUCCAGGGAGAGAGUGUGUGUCCCCCAGUCAGAGACAAAGUCCACAAGCCAAGUUUCUCUCUCUGAGUGUGUCCAGCACACCCCCAACUGCCCCCUCCUGGGGACAUUCCAUUGGAACCCUGGCUUUUGCAUCUUGGUCCACAAGUCCUGCAAAACCUCCCUCUCUCAUGACUCUAUCACAAUCUACUUGCAGCUAAUCAGACAGCUUCCUCAUGCUUCUCAAGACUGAGAGACCCUCACUGUUCUUCAAGCCAGAGUCUCCUCCUUCUCCGGAUUCCACUCCUGGGGCCCCUCCCCUAUCAAGUUCCACUUUGAUUCCCUUCCUUUAUUUGAGAUUCUGAGCAGUCCUCACUGAAACCUCCUCAGGGAUCUAUUUCUUCACUCAAGCUACCUACAUAUAUCCAUGAGCAGUAUGAAAUGAAGCCCUAUAAAACACCCCACUCUGAGUUUAGCAUGGGAGCUUGUGCCUACAUUCACUGAUUAGAUCAUGGAGGCAUCAUAAGUCAAAUAGCAAAGCAUUUAAUUGAGAUAAUAUAAGAUAAAAAUAGACCUGAGGAACCGUGAGUCAAAGAGCAAAGUAUUUAAUUGGGAAGGGAUGAAAAUUCAAGAAUGGGAAAAUCAAACAACCAACUAACAUCUCUUCAUCAGUCCUUCCAUUAAUCUUGACCCUCACCUCACACAGAAAAGGGUAUAAUUUCCUAUAUACUCAUGUGCUGGUGGUGAAAGGAAUAGAUCUGGCACAGUGGAGCUCUGGGCCUGGAGUUAGAAGACCUGAGUUCAAACCCAGUCUCAAAUAUUUAUUAGCUGUUGUGAAGAUUGGAUUUAGCUAUCUCCUGAUUGUAACAAUGAAGAUACUUAGCUCUUCCUUUAGUAGUAGUAGUGGUAGUCUCUCGGUGACCGAGAAUAACAAUUGUCUUUGUGCAUUAUCAUCUAUUGAUGUACCCUCAUGUGGUUUUGAAGUCCAAAGGCUGAGGUGCAGAGUUUGUGGCACAUGGGGCAUGGGACGCCAGUUGUUACCGGAGGUGCGGUUGUGGCCUGCGGAGUUCACGUGCAGCGGCAAGACGUCGACGUUGCUCAUCUUCAAAGGUGGUGGCGGCAUGGUUAAUGUGGGUUGCCAGCUGCUUCUGUCAGAGGCAGCGAG